AGCGAACGGGGAGGAGCCCAGAGCCUGAAUCAGCAUGUGUGUUAGUGGAAGCGUCUGGAAAGGCGCGCGAUACAGGGUGAGAGCCCCGUACACAAAAGCGCACGUGCUGUGAGCUCGAUGAGUAGGGCGGGACACGUGGUAUCCUGUCUGAAUAUGGGGGGACCAUCCUCCAAGGCUAAAUACUCCUGACUGACCGAUAGUGAACCAGUACCGUGAGGGAAAGGCGAAAAGAACCCCGGCGAGGGGAGUGAAACAGAACCUGAAACCGUGUACGUAC
rnacentral:rRNA from 1 species